rnacentral:rRNA from 1 species
UACAGAGGUCCCAAGCGUUGUUCGGAUUCAUUGGGCGUAAAGGGUGCGUAGGUGGCAUGGUAAGUCGGGUGUGAAAUCCCGGGGCUCAACCCCGGAACUGCACUCGAUACUACCGUGCUCGAGUACUGGAGAGGAGACUGGAAUUUACGGUGUAGCAGUGAAAUGCGUAGAUAUCGUAAGGAAUACCGAUGGCGAAGGCAGGUCUCUGGGCUGACACUGACGCUCAUGCACGAAAGCGUGGGGAGCAAACAGG